rnacentral:sRNA from 1 species
UUUUUUUUUUCGAGACAGCAGGCUGGAGUUCAGUGGCACAACCUCGGCUCACCGCAGCCUCUGCCUUUCAGGAGAAUCACUUGAGCCUGGGAGGCGGAUGUUACACUGAACUGAGAUCACGCCACUGCACUCUCUAGCCUGAUCAACAGAGCGAGACUCCAUCACAAAAAAAAAAAAAAAAAAAAAAUUAAAAAAGAGUUGGGUGCACCUGGAUCUAACCCCUGUCUCAUCCUUCUGCCUUGAAGGCCAAAUGCACCCUGAUACUUUUCACCAAAGAGUAGAAACAACACCAUCCACUUGACCCCAAAUGUGACUUUCCACAGGAUGCAAGCACAGUGUUGGAAUAGCCAAAGACAGUAACAAUAGAAGUGCAGGGUGAGGGUGAUGAACAGGACACACUGGAGAGCCUGACAUUGGCCUAGACUAUGGGGGUGUCUUGAUCCUUCACAAAGAGCCCAAGGAGCAACCCAAAGAGAC